rnacentral:rRNA from 1 species
UACGGAGGGUGCAAGCGUUGUUCGGAAUUAUUGGGCGUAAAGCGCGUGCAGGCGGCUGGGUAAGUCAGAUGUGAAAGCCUUCCGCUUAACGGAAGAAGUGCAUUUGAAACUACCCGGCUUGAGUUCGGGAGAGGAGAGUGGAAUUCCCGGUGUAGAGGUGAAAUUCGUAGAUAUCGGGAGGAACACCGGUGGCGAAGGCGGCUCUCUGGCCCGAUACUGACGCUGAGACGCGAAAGCGUGGGGAGCAAACAGG